rnacentral:rRNA from 1 species
CGGGGUGCAGCAGGCGCGAAAACUUUACAAUGCCGGCAACGGCGAUAAGGGAACCUCGAGUGCCAGGUUACAAAUCUGGCUGUCGUGAUGCCUAAAAAGCAUUGCAUAGCAAGGGCCGGGCAAGACCGGUGCCAGCCGCCGCGGUAACACCGGCGGCUCGAGUGGUAACCGUUAUUAUUGGGUCUAAAGGGUCUGUAGCCGGCCGGAUAAGUCUCUUGGGAAAUCUGGCAGCUUAACUGUCAGGCUUUCAGGAGAUACUGUCUGGCUCGAGGCCGGGAGAGGUGAGAGGUACUUCAGGGGUAGGGGUGAAAUCUUGUAAUCCUUGAAGGACCACCAGUGGCGAAGGCGUCUCACCAGAACGGACCUGACGGCAAGGGACGAAAGCUAGGGGCACGAACCGGAUUAGAUACCCGGGUAGUCCUAGCCGUAAACGAUACUCGCUAGGUGUCGGCCACGGUGCGACCGUGGUCGGUGCCGUAGGGAAGCCGUGAAGCGAGCCACCUGGGAAGUACGGCCGCAAGGCUGAAACUUAAAGGAAUUGGCGGGGGAGCACAAGGGCGAUUGCG